rnacentral:rRNA from 1 species
AUUGAACGCUGGCGGAAUGCUUUACACAUGCAAGUCGAGCGGCAGCGCGGGGCAACCUGGCGGCGAGCGGCGAACGGGUGAGUAAUGCAUCGGAACAUGUCCAUUUGUGGGGGAUAGCCCGGCGAAAGCCGGAUUAAUACCGCAUGAGCCCGAGAGGGGAAAGUGGGGGACCGCAAGGCCUCACGCGAAUGGGUUGGCCGAUGUCCGAUUAGCUAGUUGGUGGGGUAAAGGCUCACCAAGGCGAUGAUCGGUAGCUGGUCUGCGAGGAUGAUCAGCCACACUGGGACUGAGACACGGCCCAGACUCCUACGGGAGGCAGCAGUGGGGAAUUUUGGACAAUGGGGGCAACCCUGAUCCAGCCAUUCCGCGUGAGUGAAGAAGGCCUUCGGGUUGUAAAGCUCUUUUGUCCGGAGCGAAACGGUUAGCGUGAAUAGCGCUGACUACUGACGGUACCGGAAGAAUAAGCACCGGCUAACUACGUGCCAGCAGCCGCCGUAAAAC